rnacentral:rRNA from 1 species
GAGUUGAUUCAGAGCUCCGGCUCAGACUCUCCCACCCAAUGUGUACCUACCUCUGUUGCUUUGGCGGGCCGCGGUCCUCCGCACCGGCGCCCUUCGGGGGGCUGGCCAGCGCCCGCCAGAGGACCAUAAAACUCCAGUCAGUGAACUUUGCAGUCUGAGAAACAAGUUAAUAAACUAAAACUUUCAACAGCGGAUCUCUUGGUUCUGGCAUCGAUGAAGAACGCAGCGAAAUGCGAUAAGUAAUGUGAAUUGCAGAAUUCAGUGAAUCAUCGAAUCUUUGAACGCACAUUGCGCCCCUUGGUAUUCCGAGGGGCAUGCCUGUUCGAGCGUCAUUUCAACCCUCAAGCUCUGCUUGGUAUUGGGCUCCGUCCUCCACGGACGCGCCUUAAAGACCUCGGCGGUGGCGUCUUGCCUCAAGCGUAGUAGAAAACACCUCGCUUUGGAGCGCACGGCGUCGCCCGCCGGACGAACCUUUGAAUUAUUUCUCAAGGUUGACCUCGGA